UCGAGAAGCCGAGAAAGAGCUCAACUAUUCUGCCUUCAGCUUUCCUACUUCCUCAACUUUCAUCGUCACUCUCUCUCACUCUUGGUUUCACCUUUAUCUUCAAGCCAUCAUCAGCUAGCCACUCCGCGGCUCCGCCUCCACCGCCAGCUCUGUCUUCCAGUCUUGACUCUUGAGUCUUCAGUCAAGAGUCGAGAAGCCGAAAAGAAGCUCAACUAUUCUACCUUCAGCUUUCCUACUUCCUCAACUUUCAUCUUCACUCUCUCUCACUCUUGGUUUCACCUUCAUCUUCAAGCCAUCAUCAGCUAGCCAUCAAGAUCCUUCAUCUUCAAGGACAAAUUGAAGUACGCGGGUGAUUUUACUUAGCUUUCAUCUAUGUUUCUAGUUUAUUUUUCUUAGGCAUUCCAUCAAACAGCUUCUAGCAUUUCUUUACUUCUUACAAAUUCUAGUACUUUUUGGGGUGAUAUUUUCCACUGACCAACGAUAAGCAGAAAGAUUGCUUAACCAAGAAACACCUUAGACAAAAAUGCAUACCAAACUCGAGGAAUAGCAGUUUUUGUUGUUAAAAUUCAAAAGAUGCAGCAGUAGCUUCUUGUCUCAGCAGCAAGAAAAUCUUACCUGUGUAGCACCUCUUGAUUUGUAAAGAUCAGAAGGGGUUUGUGAUGCCUUUUCCCAAGAUCUUUGUUUUUGGAAUGGUUGUAUAAGUAUUCACUGGAAUGAUGUUUUGUAUUCUCGUAUGAACUGGUAGAGUUCUUGUGAUUUAUGGUAUUGGAAUUGUUUUGUAUUGCCUUUUGCCAGUGCACAUUUGAGGAGGGCCAGGGGACUUGAAGGCUAUAAUUG
rnacentral:lncRNA from 1 species